UCGCACAGUGAACACCCAUGUGUGCUCUGUAGCUCCUUUGGUUAUCAAUCUGUGCUAAAGAAAAGUUUGGUCUGUACCUCUGCAUCCAAAGAGUCUCAUUCUUUUAGAUGUAUUCAACGGACCAGUACAAAU
ensembl:snoRNA